rnacentral:rRNA from 1 species
UACGAAGGGGGCUAGCGUUGCUCGGAAUCACUGGGCGUAAAGGGUGCGUAGGCGGGUUUUUAAGUCAGAGGUGAAAUCCUGGAGCUCAACUCCAGAACUGCCUUUGAUACUGAGAGUCUCGAGUCCGGGAGAGGUGAGUGGAACUGCGAGUGUAGAGGUGAAAUUCGUAGAUAUUCGCAAGAACACCAGUGGCGAAGGCGGCUCACUGGCCCGGUACUGACGCUGAGGUGCGAAAGCGUGGGGAGCAACAGG